AAAUUAACAUAAUUGAAAGCAAUGUCCAGCCUAUCAUCACAAAGGAAGACCCAUCUAUCACACAGAUAACUAAAUUAAUUGAAGGGGAACCUGAGUUCAAAAUAGUCAGGGAAGGGGAGACAAUAACUAAAGUGAUUCAUGGAGAACCAAUUAUUA